CCCAAUUAUUUAUUACCUGAUUUGGCAUGAUGAUGCAUUUAGGCUAACACACAUGAAAAUCACUCUCUCUAUAUACACACAACGAGUCUCUGAUACAUGGUGAAUUCUGAUGAAAUUCUCCAUCUGGGUACUUAAGAACAGAUAUGUUUCGUCCUUCUCAAGGGAGUUUCGCACCCAAUGUCCAUAUUUGAUUUUUUUUGCAGUCAAUCCAAAGUUGAUGAAGUCGCUGACAAGGUGUCAUCGGAAGACAUCUGAUACUCUGAAGAACAGAAGAUCAUCGUCAUCGAGAUAAAAUCCGAUUGGGAAAAAAAAUCAAAUCAAAUCAAAAAAGAGAAAGCUCUGAUCCCAUAUACAACUCUUGAUUUAUUUGAAAAUAAUAAAAUUUCACAUGAUUUUUAAUGAUACCUUGACUUACUGGGCUCGAGCCCAGUCAUCCAACCUCAGCGCUCGAAAGCCCACGGAGUAAAGCGAGCCGAUAGCACGCCCAACUACCCGCAUACGGCGAUUCGACAACUCAGUCGCCAAACUCCACCAAGGGACCGAACGAACGUCGCUAGCGCAAUCCAGUGUACUCCCCAGCAAGGUACUAAAUGCUUGAAUCCAGUGUAGCGCUAAUUCGUAUAACCAUCCUGCUCCAUGCCAUCCCUCUAAAGUCAAGACUCACCCCAUAUGAAACGAUAAAUG
rnacentral:lncRNA from 1 species